CGUAUAUUAAAGUUGUUGCAGUUAAAAAGCUCGUAGUUGGAUUUGUGGUGUAUUGUGGGUUCCGGGCACUUGUUGUCUGAGUAACUUGCGGUUGCCAUCCUUGGGUGGAACCUGUGUGGCAUUAGGUUGUCAUGCAGGGGAUGCCCAUCGUUUACUGUGAAAAAAUUAGAGUGUUCAAAGCAGGCUUAUGCCGUUGAAUAUAUUAGCAUGGAAUAAUGAGAUAGGACUUUUUCGCUAUUUUGUUGGUUUGCGCGAAGAGGUAAUGAUUAAUAGGGACAGUUGGGGG
rnacentral:rRNA from 1 species